CAUAUCACAUUAAAAACACCAGGUCCCAUCUGAUUACUGAAGUUAAGCAACAUUGAGCCUAGUUAGUACCUAGUUGGGUAACUGUUUGGCAAUACCAUGCGCUGUAAG